rnacentral:rRNA from 1 species
ACUGCUCAGUAACACGUGGACAACCUGCCCUUAGGUUGGGUAUAAACCCGGGAAACUGGGUAUAAUACCCGAUAGGUCUCGAUUGCUGGAAUGCAUCGAGAUUUAAAGCUCCGGCGCCUAAGGAUGGGUCUGCGGCCUAUCAGGUAGUAGUGGGUGUAGCGUACCUACUAGCCUACGACGGGUACGGGUUGUGAGAGCAAGAGCCCGGAGAUGGAUUCUGAGACACGAAUCCAGGCCCUACGGGGUGCAGCAGGCGCGAAAACUUUACAAUGCGGGAAACCGUGAUAAGGGAACUCCGAGUGUCCGUCAAUGCGGACUGUCCGUAUGUUUAAAAAGCAUGCGAAGAAAGGGCCGGGCAAGACCGGUGCCAGCCGCCGCGGUAAUACCGGCGGCUCGAGUGGUGGCCACUAUUACUGGGCUUAAAGCGUUCGUAGCUGGGUUGUUAAGUCUCUUGGGAAAUCUAUCGGCUUAACCGAUAGGCGUCCAAGGGAUACUGGCAAUCUAGGGACCGGGAGAGGUGAGGGGUACUUCAGGGGUAGGAGUGAAAUCCUGUAAUCCUUGGGGGACCACCUGUGGCGUAGGCGCCUCACCAGAACGGCUCCGACAGUGAGGGACGAAAGCUGGGGGAGCAAACCGGAUUAGAUACCCGGGUAGUCCCAGCCGUAAACGAUGCGCGUUAGGUGUAUCGAUGACCACGAGUCAUCGAGGUGCCGAAGGGAAACCGUGAAACGCGCCGCCUGGGAAGUACGGUCGCAAGGCUGAAACUUAAAGGAAUUGGCGGGGGAGCAC